GGCCCGGUAGUUCAGUUGGUUAGAACGCCAGCCUGUCACGCUGGAGGUCGACGGUUCGAGCCCGUUCCGGGUCG
rfam:Eubacterium coprostanoligenes strain ATCC 51222 genome assembly, contig: EI64DRAFT_scaffold00005.5